UACAGAGGUCCCAAGCGUUGUUCGGAUUCACUGGGCGUAAAGGGUGCGUAGGCGGUCGGGUAAGUCUGGCGUGAAAUCUCCAAGCCUAACUUGGAAACUGCGUUGGAUACUAUCCGGCUCGAGGAAUGGAGGGGAGACUGGAAUACUUGGUGCAGCAGUGAAAUGCGUAGAUAUCAAGUGGAACACCAGUGGCGAAGGCGAGUCUCUGGACAUUUCCUGACGCUGAGGCACGAAAGCCAGGGGAGCAAACGGG
rnacentral:rRNA from 1 species